UCUCGGCUAGUCGGCUCGCAUCCCCUCCUCGUCUUGGCGUCUCUCAAUGUGCAGCGCCGCUCACCUCACCAGCGACGCGAAUCCCUCGCCGUGCCCGUACACGAAUCCCGGCGCGUCCAAUUGGUCUCCGUUCCGCUCCGCCGUGCUGCGAGGUGCUUUACCUGUCUCAUGCAGCUGAUUCAGGCGAAGUUGGAUGACAAUUUGCUAGUUCUGUGACUUCCUGUCAUGGUAUAUUUAGCAGGGCAGAGUUCUUCCUAAAGAGCACAAUUGUGUUGUAUGUGGGUGAUAUGGCAAGUACACAUGUGGCCAAAUAAUGGAAGCUUUUGACACUGCUAAUGCUAGGUAUCUGCAAAGAAACAGUUAUGUUCCCAGUUGACAAAAUCUCUAGUUGUUCAAAUGUGCAGUUGUGGCACUUAUGGACUAGCAAGGACCAUUUGCAGUUGCUCCUGUUGGUGGAAGAGCAAGCAAUAGUGCUUCGAAAGGAUCUACCUUUUAAAACUUCUCUAUGGCGAUCCUUUGCCCCAGAAAUGCAGAAAUUGAGAUGUGUGAUAGUUGGUACCACUAUCUAUAGUAGGCUGGUUGGUCCUACAAUGUUGAACCUUAUAAUCUUCUGCACCCUUGUUUGGAUGAUUUAGAUUGUUUAAAGCCAAUGACAUUUAGGUAUUUAGGCCAUGUAACUCUUUCGAGCACUUCCGCAAGACCUAAUUGCGGCAUUUUAACCAGGUUGUGAUGUCUCAGCAUUCAGCAGCAGUAUGUUUGAUCAGGAAGACUAAAACUCUGGUGACAGUAAUAUAUGUACCAGAUGGAAACAAAGUAAGCUGUACAAAGGAUUUGAACAACUGAACAAGCAGUCACCAUUGUGGAGUUGUAGAAUUUUCAUUACAGGAGAAAUAUAUGCGACUGUUUCUAACAAGUUUAUGUACAGAGUAUGAAUCGUGGAUUUUGAGAGUAUGCCAAGUUAUAUUUAGUUAAGCUGAAAAAUUCCACCAAGCAGUAUCUUGAAUGGAGGACGGGGAUGUGUUAAUUUCUUUGUGAUUGAGGAUGACUGCAAGCUUUUUAGUGGGUCUGUUCAUUCUCUGAAGCCAGCCGAAGUGCAGUGGCGACUCUUCGUCUCUUUGACAUGCACUCUAUAGCAUAAAUUCAUAUGACAUAUGUAAAUUAUCUGCCCCCUAUUUCAGUGUAAACAAUAUAUGAGUCAAAUACAAAGGUAUGAUUUGCAGUUUUC